UCUAACGCAGUGCAGCGAGCGUGUGGAUACCGGGGGGGGCAAGCGUGGACAUGAAUUACUGGCGGUAAAGGGUGCGAAGGCUGGUCUGCAAGUUGGGAUUGAAUGCUCUGGGCUUAACGCAGAGGCGGCUUUAAAAACGGCCGUGUUCGAGUGCGAGAGACGUCAGGGGAAUUGCAGGUGUAGCGUUGAAAGGCGUAGAUAUCUGCAGGAACACCCGGGGCGAAGGCGGCUGACUGGAUCGCAACUGACGCUGAGGAACGAAAGCUAGGGGAGCAAACAGGAUUAGAUACCCUAGUAGUC
rnacentral:rRNA from 1 species